UUUUUUCUUCAAUUUUUUUUCCCGCAUUAAUUUCCCCCCCCUCUCCCCCAUAAAAGUUGUGGUCAUCGGAGCACUGGCCGGCGGCUUUGGAGGCUUUAUGUGGUACAAGAAAAACAGCAAAAAGGGAAAGGGCACUCGAAGAGGCAAUACUGACAAAGAUGCUACAAAUGUUGGAGAGGAAGUACUGUAGCACUCUCGUAAGCAUGACAGCCUGGAUAUUCCACAACUACUUGCUGUGAAAACCGCUUCCUAAGAAGAAUGCCAAAGGACCAGUCUUUGAAUCUACAUGCCCU